rnacentral:misc_RNA from 1 species
ACAAAUCAUGCGCUGGCCUUUUGGCCGCGUACAUUCACCCAAAGCCUCAUGCGCAUGCGUGGGGCUCUUGUGGUUCGGGUUGUGUGCUGUGCAGUAUGCUCUGCAUAUAUAUACGCACACACGCAUACCCAAAACAUAGACGCUUGCAUGUUUGACUGUAUCAUUGGCAACAAAAUGGA